AUCCAUGUUCAAAGAGUGAUCCUUAACUCCAUACUCUUCACAAUAUUAUAACUUUGGGGGAGACCGCCUAAAGGGAAGUUCUGAAGAUAUGUAGGGAUCAAGCACUCCUCCCAAGUCUACAAAGUUGUAUAUACCAGAGUGAAUGCUGAUAAGGUUAUUCAGAAAAAUGGAGUAUUGGGACAUUUACUGCCUCUGUUGGUGAAUAAAACACAUUUAAUAGUAAGUAGUUUGAAUAAUAAUCCACUCAGAAUUCCCAGAGAAAACAGGUUCCAUUAUCACAACCAAAGGGCUCUAGAAUUGAUGACAAUUUAUUCACUUAUGUGCCUUCUCUCUGGCUGCACCAUAGUUCCAAGGGGGAAAACAAGUGGCUGUCGCUGUUACUUAAUUUGAAGCUAAAGUCUGUCUACCCUGCAAAAGUCAGCUCUAUUUUCAAAAAGAACUUGAUUUUCGGUCUGAAUAAUCCCUUUCUGAAGUGGGCAAUGAACAAGUAAUAGAUUAAUAAAUUAAACUGAAGACUGAAAAUAAGGCACGGAAGUCACAGGACCCACUUCCCGAAAACAAGUGGAGGAGUUACCUUUCCACCUGUCCUGGCUGCAGAGCUUCACUCUGAAGAAUUCCUAUUUCCUGAAUUCAGACCAGCAAUGAUUGCUUCAGAAACUUCUGCUCAUGAGAUGUUACCAUGUAUCUGACCAUGAAUGCAUCCUAUUAAAAACAUUUUGAAUAUUUAUAUAACUUGUGAUCUCAUGGAGACUCAAGCACAUAUCUGCAUAUAAUAUAUAUUCAACACAUAUUUGCCUAGUGAAACCAGAAAAAUCAUGAAAAAACUUCUAAAUGUGUUUACAGAGUAAACUGAAUCCAACAACACAUACAACACAUUCCACAGCA